AGUGAACGCUGGCGGCGUGCCUAAUACAUGCAAGUCGAACGGAGAUUAAGUAGCUUGCUAUUUAAUCUUAGUGGCGCACGGGUGAGUAAUAUAUAGCUAAUUUGCCCUACACUAGAGGACAACAGUUGGAAACGACUGCUAAUACUCUAUACUCCUUCUAAGCAUAAGCUUAGUCGGGAAAGUUUUUCGGUGUAGGAUGAGGCUAUAUCGUAUCAGCUAGUUGGUAGGGUAACGGCCUACCAAGGCUAUGACGCGUAACUGGUCUGAGAGGAUGAUCAGUCACACUGGAACUGAGACACGGUCCAGACUCCUACGGGAGGCAGCAGUAGGGAAUAUUGCUCAAUGGGGGAAACCCUGAAGCAGCAACGCCGCGUGGAGGAUGACACUUUUCGGAGCGUAAACUCCUUUUCUUGGGAAAGAAUUAUGACGGUACCCAAGGAAUAAGCACCGGCUAACUCCGUGCCAGCAGCCGCGGUAAUACGGAGGGUGCAAGCGUUACUCGGAAUCACUGGGCGUAAAGGACGCGUAGGCGGAUUAUCAAGUCUCUUGUGAAAUCUAACGGCUUAACCGUUAAACUGCUUGGGAAACUGAUAAUCUAGAGUAAGGGAGAGGCAGAUGGAAUUCUUGGUGUAGGGGUAAAAUCCGUAGAGAUCAAGAAGAAUACCCAUUGCGAAAGCGAUCUGCUGGAACUUAACUGACGCUAAUGCGUGAAAGCGUGGGGAGCAAACAGGAUUAGAUACCCUGGUAGUCCACGCCCUAAACGAUGUAUACUAGUUGUUGCUUCGCUAGUCGAGGCAGUAAUGCACCUAACGGAUUAAGUAUACCGCCUGGGGAGUACGGUCGCAAGAUUAAAACUCAAAGGAAUAGACGGGGACCCGCACAAGCGGUGGAGCAUGUGGUUUAAUUCGAAGAUACGCGAAGAACCUUACCCGGACUUGAUAUCUAACAAAUCAUCCAGAGAUGGAAGAGUGUCUGCUUGCAGAAAUGUUAAGACAGGUGCUGCACGGCUGUCGUCAGCUCGUGUCGUGAGAUGUUGGGUUAAGUCCCGCAACGAGCGCAACCCACGUAUUUAGUUGCUAACGGUUAGGCCGAGCACUCUAAAUAGACUGCCUUCGUAAGGAGGAGGAAGGUGUGGACGACGUCAAGUCAUCAUGGCCCUUAUGUCCGGGGCGACACACGUGCUACAAUGGCGUAUACAAUGAGACGCAAUAUCGCGAGAUGGAGCAAAUCUAUAAAAUACGUCCCAGUUCGGAUUGGAGUCUGCAACUCGACUCCAUGAAGCCGGAAUCGCUAGUAAUCGUAGAUCAGCCAUGCUACGGUGAAUACGUUCCCGGGUCUUGUACUCACCGCCCGUCACACCAUGGGAGUUGAUUUCACUCGAAGCCCAAAUACCAAACCGGUUAUGGUCCACAGUGGAAUCAGCGACUGGGGUG
rnacentral:rRNA from 1 species